rnacentral:rRNA from 1 species
GCAUAUCAAUAAGCGGAGGAAAAGAAACCAACAGGGAUUGCCUCAGUAACGGCGAGUGAAGCGGCAACAGCUCAAAUUUGAAAUCUGGCUCUUUCAGGGUCCGAGUUGUAAUUUGUAGAAGAUGCUUUGGGUGUGGCUCCGGUCUAAGUUCCUUGGAACAGGACGUCAUAGAGGGUGAGAAUCCCGUACGUGACUGGGUGCCUUCGCUCGUGUAAAGCUCUUUCGACGAGUCGAGUUGUUUGGGAAUGCAGCUCAGAAUGGGUGGUAAAUUUCAUCUAAAGCUAAAUAUUGGCCAGAGACCGAUAGCGCACAAGUAGAGUGAUCGAAAGAUGAAAAGCACUUUGGAAAGAGAGUUAAACAGUACGUGAAAUUGUUGAAAGGGAAGCGCUUGCAACCAGACUUGCGCGCUGUUGAUCAUCCGAGCUUUUGCCCGGUGCACUCGGCAGUGCUCAGGCCAGCAUCGGUUUUGGUGGGCGGAUAAAGGCCUUGGGAAUGUAGCUCUCUUCGGGGAGUGUUAUAGCCCUCGGUGCAAUGCGCCCUACCGAGACCGAGGACCGCGCUUCGGCUAGGAUGCUGACGUAAUGGCUUUAAACGACA